rnacentral:rRNA from 1 species
AGAGUUUGAUCCUGGCUCAGGAUGAACGCUGGCGGUGUGCCUAACACAUGCAAGUCGAACGAGAAGCCAUCUUCGGAUGGUGGACAGUGGCGAACGGGUGCGUAACACGUAGCUAUCUGCCCCAGAGAGCGGGAUAACGUCUGGAAACAGACGCUAAUACCGCAUACCCUUCUACGGAAGGAAAGCUCCGGCGCUCUGGGAUGAGGCUGCGGCCCAUCAGGUAGUUGGUGAGGUAAUGGCUCACCAAGCCAACGACGGGUAGGGGACCUGAGAGGGUGGCCCCCCACACUGGGACUGAGACACGGCCCAGACUCCUACGGGAGGCAGCAGUGAGGAAUCUUGCGCAAUGGACGAAAGUCUGACGCAGCGACACCGCGUGGGCGAAGAAGGUUUUCGGAUCGUAAAGCCCUUUUCUGUGUGACGAGAACGGACGGUAGCACAGGAAUAAGUCUCGGCUAACUACGUGCCAGCAGCCGCGGUAAAACGUAGGAGGCAAGCGUUAUCCGGAGUUACUG